GCUCAGGAUGAACGCUGGCGGCGUGCUUAACACAUGCAAGUCGAACGGGAUCCAUCAGGCUUUGCUUGGUGGUGAGAGUGGCGAACGGGUGAGUAAUGCGUGACCGACCUGCCCCAUACACCGGAAUAGCUCCUGGAAACGGGUGGUAAUGCCGGAUGCUCCAGUUGAUCGCAUGGUCUUCUGGGAAAGCUUUCGCGGUAUGGGAUGGGGUCGCGUCCUAUCAGCUUGACGGCGGGGUAACGGCCCACCGUGGCUUCGACGGGUAGCCGGCCUGAGAGGGCGACCGGCCACAUUGGGACUGAGAUACGGCCCAGACUCCUACGGGAGGCAGCAGU
rnacentral:rRNA from 1 species